UACAUGGGGUGCAAACGUUGCUCGGAAUUACUGGGCGUAAAGCGCGUGUAGGCGGUUCGUAAAGUCGGAUGUGAUAGCCCUGGGCUUAACCCAGGAAGUGCAUUCGAAACUCACGAACUUGAGUCCCGGAGAGGAAGGCGGAAUUCUCGGUGUAGAGGUGAAAUUCGUAGAUAUCGAGAGGAACAUCUGUGGCGAAGGCGGCCUUCUGGACGGUGACUGACGCUGAGACGCGAAAGCGUGGGGAGCAAACAGG
rnacentral:rRNA from 1 species